AGUUUAAGCUGGUGUUAAAGUAGACAAGCAGACUGGUUAAGACCACCAAGACUAAAUGAAGUUGUUUGUCACAGACAUCUUAGGAGGAAGAGAAUACAGAUACCAGACAUUUUCUUUACUAAAAUGGACAGUUUUUUUUUCUUUCUUUUUUUCCUUUUAAAAGAUUUUUUAUAUAGAAGAAAUCUGAAAAUUUGGAGGCAGCACCGGCUUUUUUUAAAUGAAGAAUGGUGUAUAUGAACUGAGUCUGUCUGCAUGAUGCAGCUCUGAUUUCUUGGAAUAGAAACCCUAACUAAGACACAUCCCUAAGCAGAAACUACUGCGGUAAGUAGUUCAACUCUGCCUGUCCUUGAACUUCAGUGAGAUCCACUCACACAGUGUGUUCUCUGUGCUGGUGGCACUGUAGUUCCUUUCCUCUUACUUCACUGACACUUACUCUGUGUGGCUGAGUUAGCACUUCACUUCUUUUUUCUCCACCAAAAUUGUUGAGUUAUAAGGUAGAUAUACAUUUAAUUGGAUAUUAGCAAUCAAGUUCUUCUUUCAAAUUAGCCGGAACAAAUUGUGUUCCUACCAGCACAUUGCAAAAGCUCCCAUCUUUGCAUACACCAAUGUUUGGGUUCUGGGGUUUUAACAUCAGCUACGCUGGUUGGCAUGUGCUAUUAUUAAUCCAUGCAGUUUAAUUUUGAAUGUGUGUAACUGGUUAAGGUUUUGGAACUGCUGCAGAUUCUGAUCUACUGCAUCCACCCAUGUGACUUUCAAAAGCCUCACGGGGUUACCAUCCUCCAAUUAGUCCUAUCUUUUACUCAUCUCCAACCCAGAACCAGCAAAUUGUCACCUAAACAAAGAACAAGCUAUAUGCGCAUGUACUAAAAGCAAAAACCCGCCAAAAGUCACCAGCCCAUUUCUGGGGCACUGGUCCAUCCCCCAGGGCACUAGCCCAACCCCUGGGGCGUUUAGCCUAUCCCUAGGGUGCAUGAGAUUCGUGGGUGUAGCUACCAGUCCUAGUUUAGACAUGUCACCAAAAAGUAUUUAAGCCACACACUUUCUGAGCCUUCUUUGUCUACCUCAAUAUGUUAUGAAGUAAAGUUAACCACGAAAGAA
rnacentral:lncRNA from 1 species